rnacentral:lncRNA from 1 species
AUGGUGGCGCAGGUACCCUUGAAAGAAGGAACAGAGGGACAGGCUCACUUGCUUUGCCACAGCUAUCUCCCCUUCCAAGAAACUAAAAGGAAGAAGGGAGAAGGAAGUUACUUCUUCCCACCUUGCUUCCUGUUGCUGUCAACGUCACUCCAGAAUUGGUUCUUCAUGCCGCAGCUGGUUUCAUGCCAACAGGAUCUUCCACACCCUCAGAAUCAGCUUGGCUGCACCCCUGGGAGAAGCCAGCUCCAGCCUGCAGCCUCCCUGUUCCCAGGUGUGGGUCCCUGUUCCAUAGGUCUCCUCCUGCAAACUUUUCAAAUCUGGUAA